ACGGUACGGGAUGACUAUGCGUCCCAUUAGUUAGUUGGCAGGGUAACGGCCUACCAAGACGUCGAUGGGUAGGGGCCCUGAGAGGGGGAUCCCCCACACUGGUACUGAGACACGGACCAG
rnacentral:rRNA from 1 species